GCGACCCCAGGUCAGUCGGGACUACCCGCUGAGUUUAA
rnacentral:rRNA from 2 species